UACGGAGGGUGCAAGCGUUAAUCGGAAUUACUGGGCGUAAAGCGUGCGCAGGCGGUUCGUUGUGUCGGUGGUGAAAGCCCCGGGCUUAACCUGGGAAUGGCCAUGGAAACUGGCGAACUGGAGUGUGGCAGAGGGGGGUGGAAUUCCGCGUGUAGCAGUGAAAUGCGUAGAGAUGCGGAGGAACACCGAUGGCGAAGGCAGCCCCCUGGGCUAGCACUGACGCCUCAGGCACGAAAGCGUGGGGAGCAAACAGG
rnacentral:rRNA from 1 species